rnacentral:rRNA from 1 species
CGCGACCCCAGUCAGGCGAYACCCCCG